AGCAGCCGCGGUAAUUCCAGCUCCAAUAGCGUAUAUUAAAGUUGUUGCAGUUAAAAAGCUCGUAGUUGAAUUUCGGGGUCAGUAGGUUGGUCAUGCCACUGGUAUGUACUGGUCUUACUGAUUCCUCCUUCCUGAUGAACUGUAAUGCCAUUAAUUUGGUGUUGCAGGGAAUCUGGACUGUUACUUUGAAAAAAUUAGAGUGUUUAAAGCAGGCUAACGCCUGAAUACAUUAGCAUGGAAUAAUGAAAUAGGACGUUCGAUCCUAUUUUGUUGGUUUCUAGGAUUGACGUAAUGAUUAAUAGGGAUAGUUGGGGGCAUUAGUAUUCAAUUGUCAGAGGUGAAAUUCUUGGAUUUAUUGAAGACUAACUACUGCGAAAGCAUUUGCCAAGGAUGUUUUCAUUAAUCAAGAACGAAGGUUAGGGGAUCGAAGACGAUCAGAUACCGUCGUAG
rnacentral:rRNA from 1 species